rnacentral:rRNA from 1 species
UACAUACUUAAAAAUUAAAAAAUUUGGCAGUAGUUUAAUCUUUUUAGAGGAACCUGUUUUUUGAUCGAUACACCACGAAGAAUCUUACUUACUCUUGUAAAGUUUAGUUUGUAUACCAUCAUUAUCAGAUGAUUCUAAAAGGAGAAAUUAUUGAAUUUAGUUUAUCUAGGGAAAUUAGAUCAUGGUGCAGCUUAUGGGUAAGUUAAAAUGGGUUACAAUAAAUUAAUUUAAAUGGAAUAUAAUAUGAAAAUUUAUAAUGAAGGAGGAUUUAAUUGUAUUGGGGGUUAAACAUAUGCCUUCAAGAAAUAAGCUCUAAAUUAUGUACAUAUCGCCCGUCGCUUUCAUUUAUAAGUGAAAUAAGUCGUAACAUAGUAGGUGCACUGGAAAGUGUACCUAGAAUUAAUA